CUUUUAUAUAAACUUAUAUAACUAGUCGUAAACCUUUUUCUAAAUGGCACCCCCCGCCGUUGAUGAAAACAUUGAAAUCUGGCUCAAAAUAUUUACGAAGCCCUGCCCAAAUUGUAGAAGCCCUAUUGAAAAGGCUGAUGGUUGUGACAGAGUUCGUUGCAUUUGUGGAACUUUAUUUUGCUACACUUGCGGCGUAAUUUUAGCUGAUAAAGAGGAUCAUAACCAUAAAUGAUUGUUAAAUGG